rfam:Morus notabilis contig23204, whole genome shotgun sequence.
CCGGCUUUAGCUCAGUUGGUAGAGCGGAGGACUGUAGUCGUUAGACAGAUAUCCUUAGGUCGCUGGUUCGAAUCCGGCAAGCCGGA